rnacentral:lncRNA from 1 species
AUGUUGUUUUUGAUUUUCUACUUUUUGUAUCCCUGUUUGUCUUCUGUUCUUCACUCUGGAAAGUCCCUACCAGAAUGUAUUGAGUUGCUUUUUCCUUUUUCACUUUUCCAUAUUAUUUGUCCUGUAUUAAUGUCCUCCAGCACAUUGACACUGAAGAUCCUGCUGUGUCCAAGUAAUGAACUAAGCAAGAGUGCAGUCCAAAACACUCUAGUCUGGAGUAUGAUUCCUGCUAAGAGGAGAGCCAUCGCCUGGCAAUGAAUGUAGAAGUUUUGCUUUACUGUAUAAAGUAAAACGGAAGGAAAAGACAGUUCAAAAC